rnacentral:rRNA from 1 species
UACGGGGGGAGCAAGCGGUGUUCGGAUUUACUGGGCGUAAAGGGCGCGUAGGCGGUCGUGACAAGUCACUUGUGAAAUCUCCGGGCUUAACUCGGAAAGGUCAAGUGAUACUGUCGGACUAGAGUACAGAAGGGGCAACUGGAAUUCUCGGUGUAGCGGUGAAAUGCGUAGAUAUCGAGAGGAACACCUGCGGCGAAGGCGGGUUGCUGGGCUGAUACUGACGCUGAGGCGCGAAAGCUAGGGGAGCGAACGGG